CUGUGCCUCAAAGACUUGAAGGAUGGAUAUCAACCUUAACCUAUGUUCAAUUUAAAAAAGAAACAUUCAAGAAAGAAUGGAAAGAAGAAGCACAGAGUUACUUCGAAUAUCUUAUAAAGCUUACAACAAUCAAUUUAGAAACCUUACCAGAAUUGGAUGUUACUACCUGGUGCAAUAAUUAUAUCCCUAAUUUAAUCGAAAGAAAAAAUCGACAAAUUAUCGACACCAUUGAAGAACACUGAACUGAAUAUAUUGAGCCCACCCAAGAAAAUAUCAAGAUC